rnacentral:rRNA from 1 species
UGCAGUCGAACGGUAACAUUUCUAGCUUGCUAGAAGAUGACGAGUGGCGGACGGGUGAGUAAUACUUAGGAAUAUGCCUUUGUGUGGGGGAUAACUAUUGGAAACGAUAGCUAAUACCGCAUAACGUCUUCGGACCAAAGAGGGCUUUCGGGCUCUCGCGCAAAGAGUGGCCUAAGUGAGAUUAGCUUGUUGGUGAGGUAAAGGCUCACCAAGGCGACGAUCUCUAGCUGUUCUGAGAGGAAGAUCAGCCACACUGGGACUGAGACACGGCCCAGACUCCUACGGGAGGCAGCAGUGGGGAAUAUUGCACAAUGGGGGCAACCCUGAUGCAGCCAUGCCGCGUGUGUGAAGAAGGCCUUCGGGUUGUAAAGCACUUUCAGUUGUGAGGAAAGGUUGGUGGUUAAUACCCAUCAGCUGUGACGUUAGCAACAGAAGAAGCACCGGCUAACUCCGUGCCAGCAGCCGCGGUAAUACGGAGGGUGCGAGCGUUAAUCGGAAUUACUGGGCGUAAAGCGCACGCAGGCGGUUAUAUAAGCUAGAUGUGAAAGCCCCGGGCUCAACCUGGGAAUAGCAUUUAGAACUGUAUGACUAGAGUCUUGGAGAGGGGAGUGGAAUUCCAGGUGUAGCGGUG